UGAGAUAUCAAUCCAAUUCUG
rnacentral:piRNA from 1 species